rnacentral:rRNA from 1 species
GAGAUUAAAGAUUUAUCGGUGAUGGAUGGGGAUGCGUCUGAUUAGCUUGUUGGCGGGGUAACGGCCCACCAAGGCAACGAUCAGUAGGGGUUCUGAGAGGAAGGUCCCCCACAUUGGAACUGAGACACGGUCCAAACUCCUACGGGAGGCAGCAGUGAGGAAUAUUGGUCAAUGGGCGAGAGUCUGAACCAGCCAAGUAGCGUGCAGGAUGACGGCCCUAUGGGUUGUAAACUGCUUUUAUAAGGGAAUAAAGUGAGUCUCGUGAGACUUUUUGCAUGUACCUUAUGAAUAAGGACCGGCUAAUUCCGUGCCAGCAGCCGCGGUAAUACGGAAGGUCCGGGCGUUAUCCGGAUUUAUUGGGUUUAAAGGGAGCGUAGGCCGGAGAUUAAGCGUGUUGUGAAAUGUAGACGCUCAACGUCUGCACUGCAGCGCGAACUGGUUUCCUUGAGUACGCACAAAGUGGGCGGAAUUCGUGGUGUAGCGGUGAAAUGCUUAGAUAUCACGAAGAACUCCGAUUGCGAAGGCAGCUCACUGGAGCGCAACUGACGCUGAAGCUCGAAAGUGCGGGUAUCGAACAGGAUUAGAUACCCUGGUAGUCCGCACGGUAAACGAUGGAUGCCCGCUGUUGGUCUGAAUAGGUCAGCGG